UGGUCUGAACCAGCUCUGCCUGCUAACAGCUAGUUGGCUAAAGCAUCUCCAUAGUUCAGUCUUCUUCCAAAAACCUUAUCUAUGAGCACAAAACGUGGGAAAUUGUGGGGGAGAUCAGGAAUCAACCACACAGCCUGCAGGUUUCUCGACGCCACACUCUGUUCUUCAGCGGCACCAAACUCCGUGCAUCUCUGCUGUCCUCCUGCCUUGGCCUGCAGCUCCUUGAAAGAUAGAGUAGCCCAGUUCAGUACAAUGGUAUGUGAAAAACCAGAUUUGCAAGUUUUGGAGAAGGUUAAAAGUGAAUCAUCAGAUUACUCAUGCAUGGAUGAUAAAGAUGAGCCAUUAUGGUAAAAUACAUACUUUCAUAGCAGAUGAGUGGUGUGGCUAGAAGACAGUGACGACGACGACGAUGAUGAUGACUUUGACAUUGGCCAUGUGAGGCAUAGUUCCUGUGAUGAUGAAAUGGAGCAAGGAUUGACCCACACACAGAUAUUCUGAUUCCUAUGACAAAGAAAACAGCAAUGGAUUGAACUCAGGACCUCACGCUUGCCAGGCAGGCGCUGUGCGCCUCAGUGGCAGUGAGUUAACUCUACAGCCACGCAGUGAACAAUCCUGGAAAAUGAGUCUCUGGGACAACAGCAGGUGACUGAGGACAUGGAGCCCCUGAACUUAGUGCUAAUGAAUCCUGUGUGGACAACAAAACACCUGCUGGGAUUUCAGCUUGAAAGAAAUAUGGGAGCUUCUCUUUUUGUCUGGCCCUCUACUCCUAGCAUGAAAAAUGGGCCCUUUCCUACGCAGACCCUAGGGGUGCCCUGAAUGUGUGACCAGUGCCUGCCGAGAGUGUAGCUCUGCUGUGUCAGACAGAUCUCUGAUUUGUGAAACGGCCCGUCUGAUUCCCCUCCCGAGAGGAGAGUGGGUUGUGAAGCUGCUAAUUCUUCUAACUCCUCCCUUUUAAACACAUGCGUUAUCAGAACCACAAUCCAAAAACCUUACAAAAUGAAAGCUGGGAGAUCAAAUAUGUUUUAUUAUUUUAGAUGGACCUCAAAUCGACCUAAGUGGGGCUGUUGGAGCAGGCUGGUCCUAGCACACUAUCCAUGCCCUGGUAGUGCAGGACCACGUUUUAUGUGAGUACUUUGGAUGAACCGAGGACACCCCAGAACCCCUGGCAGUGCUGCAGAUGGUCAGUUGCACAGAAAAAUCCUGUGGGUCUUCACACUUCAGUGUGUGCAUUUCCCUUGCUGCUAAUGAAGCCAGAUCAGGGAAGUUAGGCAGCGAGGUCACAGGUCUUAAACAGGAAUUUAAAUUACACUAAAAGUAGGGGCCUGAGUGAGUUAGCAUAAUAAAGUGGGCCAUCAAGGCCUCGUGAAAUGCGAGAGAAUAAGUUGUCCUUAACCCACUAGGGGAACUGAGAGCAAGAGAGAUGCAGUUGGAGUACUGCCUGCCCUCCAGACAGCCAAGGCCUGCUGCAGCAGGGCCACCCCUGCCUUCUGUCCUGUAUAGCAGUCCCAAAUCUGUAAAACCCAGAGGACCUAAAUGUUGUACACUAGAGAAAAGAGCUUCGCCAUAUUUGUACUAUACCAAAAUACCUGUAACGUGACCCUAACUGUUCUGUAUAUGUUUUUCUUCUCCAUUCUCCCUCUGGGCGACCUAAUUGAUAUGUUAACUAUUGCUAAAAUAAGGUAACAAAAGGUUGUUAAUUACUGCCAGACUCCUCUGUUCUCUGCUGAGGAAAACAAAGGUCUUCCUCAUUAACAGAUUUCCUGAUCCACAUUCACGAACUCCUUACUUUGUAAAUUGUGAUAUGUACUUAAAGGUAAAAAAUAUAGAGAAGCAAGACACACAGCUUUUGCAAUCUCCAACUGCACUGUGUG